UUCUGGCUCGUUUUGCAGCUUGCUAAGUGAGUGGGUGUUGCGGGCGAGUAUGCCAGCAAAAGAUGGUGGCGCAGGCAGAGAUAGGAGCUUUAGUACUGUGAAGCCAUCUUAGAGGUGAGCUUAGAGAGCUGAGGGUUGAAAGCUUGCACGUGGGAAAACGCGCGGCCGGACUGCCACCUGUACUGAGGUUGAGUCCUGGCGGCCACAGGCUCCCGAGUUUUGGCGUGAAGAGGCAGUUGAUCAGCGGCUGGCGCCGCGCGCUUGCAGGCCUCCCGCACGAGCCUGAACGGCGGGGGGAAAUCAUAGUUACGGGAUUGAGGCAGAGGGUUAGUUUUAAGAGCCUUUAAAAUGGCGAAGACCUUCCGUCGGCGUUAUUUUAAAAUGGAUAGUCUCGACCCUGUGCUGAGAUUGAGCUGUUUGAAGGCGGCAUUGUGUGCAAUUUGGAUUAACGAAAGAAACAAUGGCGCUGUCUUUCAGUGACACAGCGGAGCCUCUCGGUGAAGAUGCAGAGGUACGUUAAAAAAAUUCCAGCACAUCUGGGAGAAUAUUUAAUGGAAAAUCGCUUGGUUAAAACCUAACACUCUUAACAGCGUUCUGGGUGCUGACAAGUAGCUAAUGAAGAUAUGAAUGUCAGAUGUCACUGACUAGCAGCUUCAUUUUGAAUGAGGGUCGCUGUCUGCCCAUUGAUAGAGGCCAGAUUGUCUUGGAAGUUCCAAAGUUGCAACGAUUUCUGGCUAGUACCACGAGGUUUACUUGACUGUGGUAUGAAAAGCUGAUAAGAAAACCAUCCAGAAAAAAAGCUCUUCGUUUUACAAACAUGAAAAUAAAACAUGUAAUUUUGGA